rnacentral:scRNA from 1 species
GGCAGCUGCAGGUGUGAGCAUGCACGCAGCGUCCUGAUGCUCAUGUAUGAUGCUGCC